ensembl:lncRNA
CAAUUCAGUGACCGACACCAGGCAGGAGGAAGAUGGGCGUCAAAUCCACUUGGCAAGAUGGUAUGUGACUCUUCCAUUGAAGAUCUAAUCUCAAACCGAGUUUGACAAUCAUACUGUAACAAAGCUGGCUCACACCUGCAAGAAGGUCUGCAGUCCAGAUGUGGCGGAUAUGAGUCAUUCAGAGCCCUGGCAUUGGCUACACUGCUGGACCCAAGAUUCAAAAUUGUGGCUUUUGGAAAUCCUGCCAAUGCCAAGGAAGCUGAAAAGCACCUCAAGUCAAGUCACUUUUAUAUAGCGCUUUAAACAAAACAGAUUGUGUCAAAGCAACUGAACAACAUUAAUUAGGAAAACAGUGUGUCCACCUCACACUGGAGUGCGCUCCGCUGAUGCGUUCAAACCCACCAACUCAUGAGCCACAAUUGUCAGCAUCAGGUCUAUCAUCAACAACAACACCAGCAGAAAGCCAGGACUGUUUAUGGGACCAUUUUCAUAAUCUUGUCUGUGAAUCCCACACAACACACAGUGCUACAGCUGAUGCCACAGUGGAAGUGAAAAAGUACUUCACAGAUGGAUUUUUGUCCAGAACAGAUGAUCUCCUAAAGUACUGGAAGGAGAGAGCAGUAAUUUUUCCUAAUCCGUACGUUUUAGCUCAAAAGUAUAUGUGAAUGCCAGCGACAAGUGUCCCUUGUGAGAGAUUUUUUUUUUUUUUUUUUGAAAGGCUGGAGAAAUUAUAUGUAAAAAAAAAAGUAGGCUAUGUCCAUCAACAGCAAAACAAAUUAAUAUUUGUACAUAAAAAUAAUACAAAUAAAAUAAAGUCAGACAUUGUGGCUUGAUGUCUUUUAUUAAUGUUUUUCAUGACCAAAACAUUGGUCUGACAUCUGAAUUCUUAAAUCUUUGU